rnacentral:misc_RNA from 1 species
CAACCCUCAAGCUCUGCUUGGUAUUGGGCGACGCGGUCCGCCGCGCGCCUCAAAUCGACCGGCUGGGUCUUCUGUCCCCUCAGCGUUGUGGAAACUAUUCGCUAAAGGGUGCCACGGGAGGCCACGCCGAAAAACAAACCCAUUUCUAA